rnacentral:siRNA from 1 species
GUGGCACUCACUGGUGUGAUGAUG